rnacentral:rRNA from 1 species
UAUUCUGGUGUCCUAGGCGUAGAGGAACCACACCAACCCAUCCCGAACUUGGUGGUUAAACUCUACUGCGGUUACAAUACUGUAGGGGGGGUCCUGCGGAAAAAUAGCUCGACGCCAGAAU